AGCAAACGCUGGCGGCGUGCCUAAUACAUGCAAGUCGAACGGGGAAGUACCUUCGGGUAUUGUACUAGUGGCGGACGGGUGAGUAACACGUGGGUAGUCUGCCCUCGAGCGGGGAAUAACCAGUCGAAAGAUUGGCUAAUACCGCAUAAGACCACAAUCUCUGCGGAGAAAGGGGUCAAAGGCUUCGGCCACUCGAGGAUGAGCCUGCGCCCGAUUAGUUAGUUGGUGAGGUAAUGGCUCACCAAGACGAUGACCGGUAGCUGGUCUGAGAGGAUGAUCAGCCACAUUGGGACUGAGACACGGCCCAAACUCCUACGGGAGGCAGCAGUAGGGAAUAUUGCGCUAUGGAGGAAACUCUGACGCAGCGACGCCGCGUGAGUGAUGAAGGCUUUCGGGUUGUAAAGCUCUGUUCUCAGGGAAAAAGAAAGAGAUGGUACCUGAGAAGAAAGGACCGGCUAACUUCGUGCCAGCAGCCGCCGUAA
rnacentral:rRNA from 1 species